UACGGAGGGUGCAAGCGUUAAUCGGAAUUACUGGGCGUAAAGCGUGCGCAGGCGGUUUGUUAAGUCUGUUGUGAAAUCCCCGAGCUCAACUUGGGAAUUGCAAUGGAUACUGGCAGGCUGGAGUAUGGUAGAGGAAGGUGGAAUUCCCGGUGUAGCAGUGAAAUGCGUAGAGAUCGGGAGGAACACCAGUGGCGAAGGCGGCCUUCUGGACCAAUAAUGACGCUCAUGCCCGAAAGCGUGGGGAGCAAACAGG
rnacentral:rRNA from 1 species